rnacentral:rRNA from 1 species
GACGAACGCUGGCGGCGUGCUUAACACAUGCAAGUCGAACGGGAAGGCCCUUCUUUUGUGGGGUGCUCGAGUGGCGAACGGAUGAGUAACACGUGAGUAACCUGCCCUUGACUGUGGGAUAACUUCAGGAAACUGGGGCUAAUACCGGAUAGGAGCUCCUGCUGCAUGGUGGGGGUUGGAAAGUUUCGGCGGUUGGGGAUGGACUCGCGGCUUAUCAGCUUGUUGGUGGUGUAGAGGCUUACCAAGGCUUUGACGGGUAGCCGGCCGGAGAGGGUGACCGGCAACCUUGGGACUGAGAUAAGGCGCAGCAUACUACGGGAGGCAGCAGUGGGGAAUAAUGCACAAUGGGCGGCAGCCUGAUGAAGCAACGCCGCGUGCGGGAUGACGGCCUUCGGGUUGUAAUCAGCUUUCGCCUGUGACGAAGCGUGAGUGACGGUAAUGGGUAAAGAAGCACCGGCUAACUACGUG